GAUCCCGGGUCUCCAGGAUCGCGCCCUGGGCCAAAGGCAGGCGCUAAACCGCUGCACCACCCAGGGAUCCCAAGUGCCAGCUUUUUAAAAAAUGAAACACUAACACAUCCUUAAAAAAAUGAAGUGGAGGGUCAGUGAGAGAAGUAGUUAGGGGAUAGCUAAGCUGAGUGAUGUAGUCCCCUUCCACGCUCAGGGGCCAUGCCCGCUGACUUCUGCUUCUUUAGCUCAGACAGGAGGAAAUUGCCUUUUCUUCCUUUUUUUUUUUGGUGAACAUUCUCAUUCUCAAAAAAUUCAUAAAGUCAUGAGCAGAUAACUCCUUAUCUUUUUUUUUUUUUUUUCUUUUUUAAUGAGCAUUGGAUUUCUUGAGUGAGGAUAUGUGGUGGAGGUAAAGGGCUGGCUCCUCUCUGCUUAGGCUUGUAAGGGGCACAGAAACAACUUCAGGCUCCAGGGUGAGGAUGGGGGGUCUGGGAAAGCUGAGUAGUAGGAGGUUGUAACAUUCCAAAGGGAGCUAAUUUCCUCCAGCCCCAUUACUUGAAGUAGUAAGUCAAAUUUGUCAAAACUGGCCCUAAACUGACCUUUAGACCAAUCGGAGAAAUAGGAAGAAAGACUUGAAGGGUUGAGGCUAGACUGAAAAGUUGCACAGGAGAGGUACCCAGGUUUGGAUAGCUUCUCAUUAGUGGAAGGUAGGGGAAUAUUGCUAUUAAAUUUUAAGGAUUGUACUUCAUUUUUCAUAGUUUAAAAAAAAAAAAAAAGAUCAUUCUGGCCAUUGCAGACACAUAGUAAAGCAUGAGUGAGGAUUAUGUAAUCAUUCUAGUGUGUAAUCACUAGAAUCACUCAGGAGAGUGAUUACUGCUCUGCAUUUAUAAAACAUCUUAGGGAGAAAAAUAUUUUUGGAAACAGUAUUAUUUUAGACACGAAGAAGUUUGUUAGGCAUUUUAAUGUAAUAGAAGUAGCUAAGGAUGGUGGAGCAGGGCUUUAUUUACAACAUUGCUUUGGACAAACCCAGCCAGCCCCCUGAAGCUGUGUGCCCUGGCUUCUUGGGAACCUGGAGGUGAAUCUUCGCUAUAACUACCAGUCUCUGGGCCUCCUCCUCUGGGCCUCUUGCAGGCCGAGGUGGCCUGCAAGUGCCUUUCUCAGCAGGAAGUGUGCAGAAUCAGAUCAAUGCUCUAGGAUGCAGGCCGUGGCAGGGCACGUGGUCACCCUUGCCUUUAGGGACACAGUCUUUCGGGGUGGGGAAGUUCUUUAGGUCUGGCCCCUUGACACAGACUUCCUACCUGGUUAUGCUGGUGCUUGCUAAGGUAUUUUUAAGACAACCAAGACCCCCUUGAGAAUUACGCAGUCCCCGGCUAGAGCGUCUGAUGGAAAGAGCAGUUAGCAUUUUUUAUAGAAAUGCCCACUAGCCAUCUUUGAUAUUGUCUCAUCAGAGGUUCCUUUGUGACUACUCUAGGAAAGUGAGGGGUUUUUCCAGAAUAAAUCCUCCAGCAGAGUCCUGGAUAGUCUUUGCACCACUCCCUAAUCACGCUCAAUGCUCAUGCUCAGUGCCGAUGAAUGUUUGCUGUCAAGUUGUUUCGAUGUGUUUCCCGUCUUCCCUAUCGGGGAGCUGUAGUUGCUUAGUAUCACAGUUCUGAGGAGUGUAACCCCACUGGAUUACCGCAGUUGAAAGAACCCAGCUACUACUGCUCUUCAUGAAUGUGCUCAGAUAAAAAUGUCUUUGCAUAUUUAAACCGGGAAAAUUAUUAAUUCAGAUGACUGAUGCUCACAUAUUGUGUCCUUGUAUUCACAUUGUGAACAGACAUUUUACUAAUUGAGGUUUAGUACUCUUGAUGAGAACGCUCAGGUUUGAAAAAGACUGGUCUCACCAACAUCUAUGGCAGUGUGGUAAAAAAAAAUGUAUAAACUCUUGUUUCACUAAUUUGAUGUAUGUUGUGAUCUAAGGAAAAGAGAUGAAGUCUAUCUGAAGGGCUUGUGGGGUGGGGGGGGAAGGGAUUGCUUAAGCAGAUAGUGCAGUGAACGUGGGACAAGAAGUCUCUAAGACGAGAAGGUAUUUUCAUGCAUCAUGGAAGCAUUCUUCUACCACGGGUGAUUGUGCUAACUAUAAAUCAUCGGUAUCUAUACAUUAAGGCAGGUUCUCUCAAUUAGGCAACAUUUGGUUAGUCAAGUCCAAGUUAUUGUUUGUACUUGAAAGUAAUAAAGCUGCAUUUCCUUAAAAAUAACUUUUGUAGUAACUUCUCACCUUCUUUCCCCCAACAAAUUCGGAUGGAUCUUUGCGAGAGCAAUUGCAUUUUAGAAUGUGUUUUUAGAAAUGAAACUGCCUCUUGUGUCAUCUGAAGUGGCUUGUGCGUUUACUGUUUUUGCAUGUUCUAGAUUGUAACCCCAACAUUGCAGCGGUUUUUGAAUGAGAUCCAAGAGGAAAACAGUACAUUGAAAAGUCAAAUGCAAGGAAGGAAUUUGGGCGACCUUCAUGAGUAGAUUGGGGGGGUGUGUGUUGUACCAUUAAUGCAGCUUCCAGAUCUUGGGAUUGUCUUCCUUCCUCCGCUACUCAGCCCAUCCCCUAGUUGGUUCAUUCUUUUUAACUUGAAAGUGUAGGACUCCUUGUCGUUCACCAAACGUGGUCCUGUACCUUUGAUCCCCAGCAGCACUGUCCUAGGGCAGAAUGUCACUUCUGUUACACAGGAGUGAAUCGAGGCUGGGUAAGUGGCUGAUUGCUUGGAGCAGUAGUGAGUGGUGGGGAGGAGGCUGGGGCCCAGAGUGUUAGCCUUCACAGACCCAGAUCCUAGAUUCCCCCCCUUUCCCUCCCCCUUUGCCCUUGUGUGGGCCUCCGAAGCUGUUGGCACUCUGCGUCCGGGGCAUCUCGCCAACCACUUCUUUGAGCACAUGGCUUCCCUGUUGAAACAACCUCGCUGACUUUCUAUUACCAGCAGGGUGUGUCUAGCCUAGAUUGUUUUUUUUUUUUUUUAGCCUAGAUUUAUUAAGCUAUCCAUAAUGGAGUCCCAAUCAUCUCUCCAAACGGUUCUUGCUCUUUUCCUGACUGCACUUUGGUCUUCUCCCAUCCGCCUGGAAAAGCCCCCGUGAUCCUUUCUCCCACUCCCAGAGUCAGCCUUUAGGAUCCCACUGGCCUCCCACUGUCUUCAGAGCCUCAGCUGGCCACCCUCCCUGACUCAGCCUGACUCCACCUUUUUGCCUAGGGUAGUGAGUUGGGCAAUCUUGUUGGCAGUUCAUCACGUUGUACCUUUUGCAGUUGGCAAGCCAUUAACUUUCACCCUUGAUCCAUAACAUUUUUCAAAAUUCUGCCCAGCAACACUGUUUAUAGGUUGAAUUAUUACGUGAGACUCGGUGCUUGGGAAGAUAUUUUAAUAAGCUCCGCGGAUCUUAGGGGCUACAUUAACUGGAAGAAACAUAACUUUUGAGAGUAUCGGUGCAUGGAAGCAAAAGAAAGGCCAGUGACACACAGCCCUUGCUCUUAGACUGCCCUGUUGUGCCAGAGCCUAUAAACAUCUAAGUUGUUCUGAGAACAUUUGGGCGGAAUGUUUGAUGAUCAUUCCGUGAUUAGACAUGGGUAGUCCUUGCCAGCGGGAUGUUCCUGUCCUUUGCAUUUGAACCACAUGUUCUGCUCUCAUUGUGGUAGCUUCCAGUUUUGCUUCUAGACAAUGCUACAGAGAACUUCUCUGUGCAUAUUUUCUUAGAACAAACUCCUGGUAGAAGACGCAUCGGUAAAAGCAAAGAAUUCUUUCUGAACAUUUUUUGUCAUGGGGAAGAGUGCAUAAAGCACCCAGUUCAUUGAACAGUUAGAGUGAACACCCGUCUAAGGACUGUCAAAAUCAAGAAAGAUCAUUUCUGGCUCCCCAGAGACCUCCUCUGUGUCAAGGAAGGAACAUUUCAUGACUUUUGCAUCAUAUUUCUCCUACGGCCUUCCAAAUGAGUUAAAGGGAUUUAUGUUGUCACCUUGCUGGAUUAAAUAACAAUGUUUCACAUCAUCA